GGUUAAUUCGAUGCAACGCGAAGAACCUUACCAGGGCUUGACAUCCCGGGAACCUGCCUGAAAGGUGGGGUGCCCGCAAGGGAGCCCGGAGACAGGUGGUGCAUGGCUGUCGUCAGCUCGUGUCGUGAGAUGUUGGAUUAAGUUCCGCAACGAGCGCAACCCUCGUUGCCUGUUGCCAGCACGUGAUGGUGGGCACUCAGGCGAGACUGCCGCAGCAAUGUGGAGGAAGGUGGGGAUGACGUCAAGUCAGCAUGCCCCGUACGCCCUGGGCUACACACAUACUACAAUGCGAGGAGCAAACAGUUGCGAACCCGCGAGGGGGAGCUAAUCUCUUAAAGCCAAUCUCAGUUCGGAUUGUAGGCUGCAACUCGCCUACAUGAAGUCGGAAUCGCUAGUAAUCGCGGAUCAGCACGCCGCGGUGAAUACGUUCCCGGGCCUU
rnacentral:rRNA from 1 species